rnacentral:rRNA from 1 species
ACGCACGCUGGCGGCGUGCUUAACACAUGCCAGUCGCACGGAAAGGCCCUGCUUUUGUGGGGUGCUCGAGUGGCGAACGGGUGAGUAACACGUGAGUAACCUGCCCUUGACUUUGGGAUAACUUCAGGAAACUGGGGCUAAUACCGGAUAGGAGCCCCUGCUGCCUGGUGGGGGUUGGAAAGUUUCGGCGGUUGGGGAUGGACUCGCGGCUUAUCAGCUUGUUGGUGGGGUAGUGGCUUACCAAGGCUUUGACGGGUAGCCGGCCUGAGAGGGUGACCGGCCACAUUGGGACUGAGAUACGGCCCAGACUCCUACGGGAGGCAGCAGUGGGGAAUAUUGCACAAUGGGCGGAAGCCUGAUGCAGCAACGCCGCGUGCGGGAUGACGGCCUUCGGGUUGUAAACCGCUUUCGCCUGUGACGAAGCGUGAGUGACGGUAAUGGGUAAAGAAGCACCGGCUAACUACGUG